UACAUUGAUGGAAGCGUCAUCACGAUUUCACAUAAUACUGUAUAUUGAGUAUUUCCCGAUUCAACGUUCACAAUGGACUCCGCUUAUGACAAAACCGACUUCCAUUCAACAAUUGAUGUGCAGUGUCCAGAUUGUCAACAUCCCGGCCGUGAGAGGCGGUAGAGCAGGAAGGAAGGUCUAUCAAUCAGGGCCGCGGUAAACAGGAUGGCACAGGAGCAGACCACCUGCCACC